UACGGAGGGGGCUAGCGUUGUUCGGAAUUACUGGGCGUAAAGCGCACGUAGGCGGCUUUGUAAGUUAGAGGUGAAAGCCCGGGGCUCAACUCCGGAAUUGCCUUUAAGACUGCAUCGCUAGAAUUGUGUAGAGGUAAGUGGAAUUCCGAGUGUAGAGGUGAAAUUCGUAGAUAUUCGGAAGAACACCAGUGGCGAAGGCGGCUCACUGGCCCGGUACUGACGCUGAGGUGCGAAAGCGUGGGGAGCAAACAGG
rnacentral:rRNA from 1 species